rnacentral:rRNA from 1 species
AGAGUUUGAUCCUGGCUCAGAACGAACGCUGGCGGCAUGCCUUAUACAUGCAAGUCGAACGAGAAAGUCACUUCGGUGGCGAGUACAGUGGCGCACGGGUGAGUAACGCGUAGAUGAUCUACCCUUCAGUCUGGGACAACUCUUGGAAACGGGAGCUAAUACCGGAUAAAACCUUCGGGUUGAAAGAUUUAUCGCUGGGGGAUGAGUCUGCGUACCAUUAGCUUGUUGGUGGGGUAACGGCCUACCAAGGCGACGAUGGUUAGCGGGUCUGAGAGGACGAUCCGCCACACUGGAACUGAGACACGGUCCAGACUCCUACGGGAGGCAGCAGUAGGGAAUAUUGCGCAAUGGGGGCAACCCUGACGCAGCAAUGCCGCGUGAGUGAAGAAGGCCUUCGGGUCGUAAAGCUCUUUUAUGGGGGAAGAUGAUGACGGUACCCCAUGAAUAAGCACCGGCUAACUACGUGCCAGCAGCCGCGGUAAUACGUAGGGUGCGAGCGUUGUUCGGAAUUACUGGGCGUAAAGGGCGUGCAGGCGGAUUGGCAAGCCGGAGGUGAAAGCCCGGGGCUCAACCCCGGAGGGUCUUUCGGAACUGCCAGUCUUGAGAGGGUCAGGGGCCAGCGGAAUUCCUGGUGUAGAGGUGAAAUUCGUAGAGAUCAGGAGGAACACCGGCGGCGAAAGCGGCUGGCUGGGGCCACUCUGACGCUGAGGCGCGAAAGCGUGGGGAGCAAACAGGAUUAGAUACCCUGGUAGUCCACGCCGUAAACGAUGGGCACUAAGCGUCCGACGGGUUCGACCCUGU